rnacentral:rRNA from 2 species
UUAAGCGACUAAGCGUACACGGUGGAUGCCCUGGCAGUCAGAGGCGAUGAAGGGCGUGCUAAUCUGCGAUAAGCGCCGGUAAGGUGAUAUGAACCGUUAUAACCGGCGAUACCCGAAUGGGGAAACCCAGUGUGAUUCGUCACACUAUCAUUAACUGAAUCCAUAGGUUAAUGAGGCGAACCGGGGGAACUGAAACAUCUAAGUACCCCGAGGAAAAGAAAUCAACCGAGAUUCCCCCAGUAGCGGCGAGCGAACGGGGAGGAGCCCAGAGCCUGAAUCAGCAUGUGUGUUAGUGGAAGCGUCUGGAAAGGCGCGCGAUACAGGGUGACAGCCCCGUACACAAAAGCGCAUGUGCUGUGAGCUCGAUGAGUAGGGCGGGACACGUGGUAUCCUGUCUGAAUAUGGGGGGACCAUCCUCCAAGGCUAAAUACUCCUGACUGACCGAUAGUGAACCAGUACCGUGAGGGAAAGGCGAAAAGAACCCCGGCGAGGGGAGUGAAAAAGAACCUGAAACCGUGUACGUACAAGCAGUGGGAGCACAGGUUUACCUGUGUGACUGCGUACCUUUUGUAUAAUGGGUCAGCGACUUAUAUUCUGUAGCAAGGUUAACCGUAUAGGGGAGCCGGAGGGAAACCGAGUCUUAAUUGGGCGUUAAGUUGCAGGGUAUAGACCCGAAACCCGGUGAUCUAGCCAUGGGCAGGUUGAAGGUUGGGUAACACUAACUGGAGGACCGAACCGACUAAUGUUGAAAAAUUAGCGGAUGACCUGUGGCUGGGGGUGAAAGGCCAAUCAAACCGGGAGAUAGCUGGUUCUCCCCGAAAGCUAUUUAGGUAGCGCCUCGUGAAUUCAUCUCCGGGGGUAGAGCACUGUUUCGGCUAGGGGGCCAUCCCGGCUUACCAACCCGAUGCAAACUGCGAAUACCGGAGAAUGUUAUCACGGGAGACACACGGCGGGUGCUAACGUCCGUCGUGAAGAGGGAAACAACCCAGACCGCCAGCUAAGGUCCCAAAGUCAUGGUUAAGUGGGAAACGAUGUGGGAAGGCCCAGACAGCCAGGAUGUUGGCUUAGAAGCAGCCAUCAUUUAAAGAAAGCGUAAUAGCUCACUGGUCGAGUCGGCCUGCGCGGAAGAUGUAACGGGGCUAAACCAUGCACCGAAGCUGCGGCAGCGACACUGUGUGUUGUUGGGUAGGGGAGCGUUCUGUAAGCCUGUGAAGGUGUGUCGUGAGGCAUGCUGGAGGUAUCAGAAGUGCGAAUGCUGACAUAAGUAACGAUAAAGCGGGUGAAAAGCCCGCUCGCCGGAAGACCAAGGGUUCCUGUCCAACGUUAAUCGGGGCAGGGUGAGUCGACCCCUAAGGCGAGGCCGAAAGGCGUAGUCGAUGGGAAACGGGUUAAUAUUCCCGUACUUGGUGUUACUGCGAAGGGGGGACGGAGAAGGCUAUGUUGGCCGGGCGACGGUUGUCCCGGUUUAAGCGUGUAGGUGUGUGUUCCAGGUAAAUCCGGUUCACUUUAACACUGAGGCGUGACGACGAGGCACUACGGUGCUGAAGCAACAAAUGCCCUGCUUCCAGGAAAAGCCUCUAAGCAUCAGGUAACAUCAAAUCGUACCCCAAACCGACACAGGUGGUCAGGUAGAGAAUACCAAGGCGCUUGAGAGAACUCGGGUGAAGGAACUAGGCAAAAUGGUGCCGUAACUUCGGGAGAAGGCACGCUGACACGUAGGUGAAGUGAUUUACUCAUGGAGCUGAAGUCAGUCGAAGAUACCAGCUGGCUGCAACUGUUUAUUAAAAACACAGCACUGUGCAAACACGAAAGUGGACGUAUACGGUGUGACGCCUGCCCGGUGCCGGAAGGUUAAUUGAUGGGGUCAGCGCAAGCGAAGCUCCUGAUCGAAGCCCCGGUAAACGGCGGCCGUAACUAUAACGGUCCUAAGGUAGCGAAAUUCCUUGUCGGGUAAGUUCCGACCUGCACGAAUGGCGUAAUGAUGGCCAGGCUGUCUCCACCCGAGACUCAGUGAAAUUGAACUCGCUGUGAAGAUGCAGUGUACCCGCGGCAAGACGGAAAGACCCCGUGAACCUUUACUAUAGCUUGACACUGAACAUUGAGCCUUGAUGUGUAGGAUAGGUGGGAGGCUUUGAAGCGUGGACGCCAGUCUGCGUGGAGCCGACCUUGAAAUACCACCCUUUAAUGUUUGAUGUUCUAACGUGGACCCGUGAUCCGGGUUGCGGACAGUGUCUGGUGGGUAGUUUGACUGGGGCGGUCUCCUCCUAAAGAGUAACGGAGGAGCACGAAGGUUGGCUAAUCCUGGUCGGACAUCAGGAGGUUAGUGCAAUGGCAUAAGCCAGCUUGACUGCGAGCGUGACGGCGCGAGCAGGUGCGAAAGCAGGUCAUAGUGAUCCGGUGGUUCUGAAUGGAAGGGCCAUCGCUCAACGGAUAAAAGGUACUCCGGGGAUAACAGGCUGAUACCGCCCAAGAGUUCAUAUCGACGGCGGUGUUUGGCACCUCGAUGUCGGCUCAUCACAUCCUGGGGCUGAAGUAGGUCCCAAGGGUAUGGCUGUUCGCCAUUUAAAGUGGUACGCGAGCUGGGUUUAGAACGUCGUGAGACAGUUCGGUCCCUAUCUGCCGUGGGCGCUGGAGAACUGAGGGGGGCUGCUCCUAGUACGAGAGGACCGGAGUGGACGCAUCACUGGUGUUCGGGUUGUCAUGCCAAUGGCACUGCCCGGUAGCUACAUGCGGAAGAGAUAAGUGCUGAAAGCAUCUAAGCACGAAACUUGCCCCGAGAUGAGUUCUCCCUGAGACUUAGAGUCUCCUGAAGGAACGUUGAAGACGACGACGUUGAUAGGCCGGGUGUGUAAGCGCAGCGAUGCGUUGAGCUAACCGGUACUAAUGAACCGUGAGGCUUAACCUU